GUACUUACCUGGCAGGGGAGAUACCAUGAUCACAAAGGCGGUUUUCCCAGGGCGAGGCUCACCCAUUGCACUCUGGGUGUGCUGACCCCUGCAGUUUCUCAAGUGUGGGAAACGCAACUGCAUAAUUUGUGUGUUGUGUGGGACUGCUUUUCUGCUCUCCUUCA